CCUACGGGGGGCAGCAGUGAGGAAUAUUGGUCAAUGGACGAGAGUCUGAACCAGCCAUGUCGCGUGACGGAUGACUGCCCUCUGGGUUGUAAACUUCUUUUAUAAAGGAAUAAAACGAGGCACGUGUGCCUUUUUGCAUGUACUUUAUGAAUAAGGAUCGGCUAACUCCGUGCCAGCAGCCGCGGUAAUACGGAGGAUCUGAGCGUUAUCCGGAUUUAUUGGGUUUAAAGGGAGCGUAGAUGGGUUGUUAAGUCAGUUGUGAAAGUGUGCGGCUCAACCUUAAAAUUGCACUUGAUACUGGCAGGCUUGAGUACAGUAGAGGUAGGCGGAAUUCGUGGUGUAGCGGUGAAAUGCUUAGAUAUCACGAAGAACCCCGAUUGCGAAGGCAGCUUACUAAACUGAGACUGACAUUGAGGCUCGAAAGUGUGGGUAGCAAACAGGAUUAGAUACCCGGGUAGUC
rnacentral:rRNA from 1 species